GCCUGGGUGGCUCAGUCGGUUAAGUGUCUGACUUCGGCUCAGGUCAUGGUCUCACGGUUCGUGGGUUCGAGCCCCGCGUCGGGCU
rnacentral:tRNA from 1 species